rnacentral:misc_RNA from 1 species
GUGAAUCAUCGAAUUUUUGAACGCAAAUUGCACUCUCUGGCAUUUCGGAGAGUAUGCCUGUUUGAGGGUCAGUUUAAAUAAAAAUCGGUGUGGUUGAUGCCUUUCGUGGUGACGAAAUGGAUUUGGGUCGUCUUGAUUUCGGGUAAGUGGACUAACAUUUUGCAUGAUUAUUUUCGAACGUAUUUAAAUGAUUUUACGUACGUUUGCGAUAUAGAAUAAUAGGUGUGGUUUGCCUCAUGUUUCGCGCCU